UACGAAGGGGGCUAGCGUUGUUCGGAAUCACUGGGCGUAAAGGGCGCGUAGGCGGCCGAUCAAGUCGGGGGUGAAAGCCUGUGGCUCAACCACAGAAUUGCCUUCGAUACUGUUUGGCUUGAGACCGGAAGAGGUUAGUGGAACUGCGAGUGUAGAGGUGAAAUUCGUAGAUAUUCGGAAGAACACCAGUGGCGAAGGCGGCUCACUGGACCGGCAUUGACGCUGAGGUGCGAAAGCGUGGGGAGCAAACAGG
rnacentral:rRNA from 1 species